UGGUUUUAAAUACUGUAUCACAUAGAAUUGAAUUUCUAAGAAAGAGCAGCCCUUAGAAUUUUUAAAGGCAUCCCUUGCUGGGCAUCUCCUCCACCCACCCCCCCGCUCCGUGUUUUUGGAGGGAAAAAAAGAUCGGAUCCAGAGAGCUGCCCAAUGGAAAUCCAUCAGUUAAGUUGCUAACCUCUUCACCCAUCCUUGCUCUUUUACCAUCAGUUUGAGGUCCAUGGGAUUAGCAGAAACCAACACAUAAGGGAUGAAGGUGCAAAGCUGGGGACCCUAGCCUCCUGCGAAGAGCCCACUAAGACUGCUCGCCUCCUCCCAAAGAAGCGCCCGCGGGCCAGUCUCUCUCCUCCGGCAGGUGCGUUCAAGAGAGCAGCUUCGCUUGCCCGUUCAUCCUCACCGGUGGCGCUCCUGACACCCGAGAGCAAACCUGGGCAGGAAUCGUGGGGGUUGCCGGAGUCUGGAUUUCCCUCUUCUGUGGUGACCUUAACUUGGAAGGAUCGCAAGUCUUUCUCUCUUUCCCACCCCCCACCCUCCUCUUUUUUGGCAAGGGCGGAGGGAGAGAGGAGAGGAGGGAGGCCGAGCCGCCGUCCAGCCUUCUUUCGCCUUGCGCUCGGGUUCCUGGCAAGGAAUUCCUCUUUAAAGGCGACUCCGAUUGCUGUGUCAGUCAGUCCAGACAGCGGCGGUGGUGGGAGGAGCUGGGGCUGCCGAUGCCGCCUCUUGCUUUGGAAGCGGCUGCCGGAGAUGCUUCGCGCUGGCGAGCGGAGCGGAGAGGAGCGCGCCCGUGAGCGAGGCAGCAGGCGAGCCGCCGACGGAGAGAGCCAGCCAGGCAGCCGGACGGAGAGCGACCGAGGCGGCGAAGCCCAACUCCAGCAUUGCCUGAGCCGCCGCUAAAGCUCUCCCACUGGCGAGAGACGGACCAGGGCGAGCGAGCGAGCGACGGAGGAGCCGCGCCGGGAAGAAGGAUACGGCUGCGAUCGCGGAGGGGAAACUGCUUGAGCGCCCAAGUUCCUGCCUCUUUCCCCCUUCCGUCUAACUCUUAAGGAAUGAAAGCUUUCCAGGCUGAUCUCGUCCUCCUCUGCUUCUUCCUCCUCAGCCAAGAGAAUAAAGCCCGCUUUGUAAAAAUUUGGAAGGAACAUACAACAGUGCUUCCAGGAAUACUGGGAAUCUCAUCAACUGUAUCUACCUUGAGAUGCAGUGCUUCUCCAAACAGAUCCUGUCCUCCAGCUCCGACACCUU